rnacentral:lncRNA from 1 species
UGAAUUGACAUCAGAAAUCUGUGCUGGAGUCAACAAUGAAAGUCCACCCACAAAUGAAUUAUCAGGCACGAACCCGGAGGCACGUAUCCAUGAAAGGUGAGUUAUGCAUACGUGUGUCUUUAUUUAUGUAAUUAUAAGUGAGCAUAGAAGUUUUCACACACACAGGCACAUAAACA